ACGCGAAGAACCUUACCAAGGGCUUGACAUGCAGGGAAAUCUCAUAGAGAUAUGGGGUCCGCAAGGGCUCUGCACAGGUGGUGCAUGGUUGUCGUCAGCUCGUGUCGUGAGAUGUUGGGUUAAGUCCCGCAACGAGCGCAACCCUCGUUCCAUGUUGCCAGCGCGUAAUGGCGGGGACUCAUGGGAGACCGCCGGGGUCAACUCGGAGGAAGGUGGGGAUGACGUCAAAUCAUCAUGCCCCUUAUGUCUUGGGCUGCACACAUGCUACAAUGGCCGGUACAGAGGGCUGCGAAACCGCGAGGUGGAGCGAAUCCCACAAAGCCGGUCUCAGUUCGGAUUGGGGUCUGCAACUCAACCCCAUGAAGUCGGAUUCGCAAGUAAUCGCAUAUCAGCAACGCUGCGGUGAAUACUUUCCCGGGUCUCGUACACCAGG
rnacentral:rRNA from 1 species